AUUGAACGCUGGCGGCAGGCCUAACACAUGCAAGUCGAGCGAGCGGCGGACGGGUGAGUAAUGCCUGGGAAUUGCCAAGUCGAGGGGGAUAAAAGUUGGACACGACUGCUAAUACCGCAUACGAUCGGAAUGCACAGGUGGGAUUAGCUAGUUGGUGAGGUAAUGGCUCACCAAGGCGACGAUCCCUAGCUGGUCGGAGAGGAUGGUCAGCCACACUGGAACUGAGACACGGUCCGGACUCCUACGGGAGGCAGCAGUGGGGAAUAUUGCACAAUGGAGGAAACCCUGAUGCAGCCAUGCCGCGUGUGUGAAGAAGGCCUUGGGAUUGUAAAGCGCUUUCAGCGAUGAGGCGUUACUCGCAGAAGAAGCACCGGCUAACUCCGUGCCAGCAGCCGCGGUAAUAC
rnacentral:rRNA from 1 species